AUGAUGGUGGUGUUUAGGGUUGGAGAAACGACGAUGGUGGUGAGCAGUGUGUUUCUCGGUUCAAUCAACAUGAAAUUAAAGGACGAUUCUUUAGCUGUGGAUUGGUGUGGAUUGUGACCUGUGGUUAUGGCUAGACUAUAAGGUAUUAAAAUCAUGAUAACGAUAAUGCAAGCUGGAUAUGAAACUGAUGAGCUAACAAACUAGUCAACAUUAACUUGGAAACAAUGGGUGCAUGGACCAGUCAA
rnacentral:lncRNA from 1 species